GACAGACAGAGGCGCUGAAGUUGAAGAAGCUUCUGCGCAUGCUUUUCUUUGUCAAUCUUCAAAACUUUGACAAAAUCAUGGAAAAUUCAUCCUAAUUUCACCCACUUUUUUAUCCAUUUUUUCUUCUCUCACACCCUAAAUUCCAAUCGCAUCGUUUGAUGAUAGUAUAUUAGUAUUCAAGCACUCAUCAGUCAUCUUCUCUCUCUACCUUCUCUCACUUGCAGUAAAAGCCAUCGUUAUCUCAGAAUACUGAAAAGGUAAGUAAUCUCUAGCUCUGAUCUCUCUUUUUCAUCGUUAGUUUCUGUAAACGUUUGUAAAAUUAUUUAUUUGUCGAAAAAACAGAUUUUUCUAUUUUUCAAGUAGUUUUGCUUUGCUUUUUAGCUGGAUUUGCUGCAAAAAUUCUUCAUUACUCGAUGAUCCAGGAUUUGGGAUCGUGAUCAAAGGCAAUUAAUUAAAAAGGAUUAUAGCUUUUACAUAGAAUUAGGUGUUGAAUAUGAGUGCCUAAAAAUAUUUUUAUAAUGAGAAAAUUAUCUGUAACAACUAUCAACUCGCUUUGUAUUAUCUGGAAAGUUUGUGAAAAAAAAUUGACAACUUUGCUUCUUUGCAUAGAUAUUUUAUCAGUGUGUGUGUGUGUGUGAGAAAGAUGUGGGGUUAUAUUUAUCAUUUAAAAAUUAAUGCGGUUUGCCUGCUUUAUUACUCAUGAAUCGUCACUAUCUUUGUUUUCUAGCUCACACAUUUCCUUUUCCAUAAUUUAUUUAACUUUUUAUUUGACGAAAUCUGUGUGUGUGUGUGUAUUCGAGUUUUGCUGCUAAGCGUGUAAUAAUUUAGUAUUUGUUUGCAAAUUGCAAACCUAAUUUGACAUUAUUGAAGUGAUCAAUUGAGUUUAGGUGGGAUUUGAAGAUAAACCGCCUCAAAUUGCUCUAAUUAUCUCAUUUAAUUUCAUAGACUUUUUGACUUUUAUGCAAAAACAGAUUUGCAAACCUUUCUAUGUUAGUAUCAUAUUUAUUUAGUUGUAAAUUUGGAUCAUGUUUGCACUGCCCUUGAAAUAAUCCUCUCUCUCUCUCUCUAGGGAGAAAGAAAUCAUGAUAGAAGAAGUAUUGUCGAUCAAUGAUCAAUGGUGAUCUGCUAUUACCAGCUGCUAUUAUAUGCACAGCCAAGAUCUCAGAAAAUAAAGCAAAUAUGUGGAAGCCAACCUGAACACAACGCCACUCUCUUUGUGCCAAACUUUGUGGCCGUUAUGGAGAACAUAAGCACGCAAAUCCGGGCUUCGGGCUUCGGCGUGGCGGAAGCGGGCUCGGGGCCCGACAAGAACUACGGCCUGGCGCAGUGCUACGGCGACCUCUCCCCCGUCGACUGCGUGCUGUGCUACGCCGAGGCCCGCACGGUCCUGCCGCAGUGCUACCCGGUCAACGGGGGGAGGAUCUACCUCGACGGCUGCUUCAUGCGGGCCGAGAACUACAGCUUCUACGGGGAGCACACGGGCCCGACCGACCAAGCUGUAUGCGGGAACAGAACCCGGCCCGGUUCGGCCUUCAAUGAAUCGGUCGGACGGGCGUUGUCGCAGGCGGUUUCGGCCGCACCGAGCAACAACGGCUAUGCACGGGCCGUGGUCCGAACGAGGAACGAGUCGGCCUACGUCCUGGCCGACUGCUGGAGGACGAUUAGCCCUAGUGCCUGCCGGGCCUGCCUGGAGAACGCGUCUGCGGCCAUAUCGGGCUGCCUGCCUUUGUCCGAGGGCCGGGCCCUCAACACGGGCUGUUUCAUGAGGUAUUCAGACACCAAUUUCCUCAAUCCUAUACCUAGAAGUGGAAGCUCAAGAGGUAAUAGAACUAGUUAGAGUGUGUUUUUGUCUGAGUUUUCGCCUUCUUUAGCUUUUNAACCACCUAGUCCAAGAAGUGCUCAAGCGUCGAGGGCUUAUUUAAAUUAGGAAAUUAUGUUAUUUUUUAUUUUAUUAUCGUAUUUUAAUUAUAUUUUUAAUUUUAUUUUAAUUAUUGUAAUGUUUAAUUUUAUUUUUAAUGAAAUUAGAAAUUUUAAAAUAAAAGUGUAGAAAUAUAAAUUUUGUAGAAACGAAGAUUUAAGCACCCACAUAAGACACAAUGCAUUGGAGAGGGGUGUGUCUUAGGUGGGGCCCACUCCUAAGACACUCAUCUAAGACACAAGCAUUGGAGUUGCUCUAAUACUCCACUAUUUCUCAUACAUGUCUUUUGUGGAGUUUGCUACUUAAUUUCCGAGAAUAAAGAAAUUAGAAAAAUAAUUUGUAAAUAAAUGUAUAAAAAAUGAGUAGCGUCAAAAACGACGACCCCACUCAACGCGACAGACAGAGGCGCUGAAGUUGAAGAAGCUUCUGCGCAUGCUUUUCUUUGUCAAUUUUCAAAACUUUGACAAAAUCAUGGAAAAUUCAUCCUAAUUUCACCCACUUUUUUCUCCAUUUUUACUUCUCUCAUCCCCAAAAUCCAAUCGCAUCGUUUGAUGAUAGUAUAUGGAGUAAUAUUCAAGCACUCAUCAGUCAUCUUCUCUGUCUACCUUCUCUCACUUGCAGUAAAAGCCAUCGUUAUCUCAGAAUACUGAAA
rnacentral:lncRNA from 1 species